rnacentral:rRNA from 1 species
UACGAAGGGGGCUAGCGUUGUUCGGAAUUACUGGGCGUAAAGGGCGCGUAGGCGGCCUGCUAAAUCGGGCGUGAAAGGCCUGGGCUUAACCCAGGAACUGCACCCGAGACUGACAGGCUCGAGUCCGGGAGGGGAUGGUGGAAUUCCCAGUGUAGAGGUGAAAUUCGUAGAUAUUGGGAAGAACACCGGUGGCGAAGGCGGCCAUCUGGACCGGUACUGACGCUGAGGCGCGAAAGCGUGGGGAGCAAACAGG